ensembl:snRNA U6 U6 spliceosomal RNA
GGACAUUUGUCGUGCUCAUACACUAUAAUUGGAAUGAUAGACGAUUAGCAUGGUCCCUGUGCAAGGAUGACAUGCAAAUUUGUGAAGGACGUUAGGACAUUUGU